UACGGAGGGGGCUAGCGUUGUUCGGAAUCAUUGGGCGUAAAGCGCGCGUAGGUGGCCAUUUAAGUCCGCUGUGAAAGUCAGAGGCUCAACCUUUGAAAGCCGGUGGAUACUGGAUGGCUAGAGUACGGAAGAGGCGAGUGGAAUUCCUGGUGUAGCGGUGGAAUGCGCAGAUAUCAGGAGGAACACCAAUAGCGAAGGCAGCUCGCUGGGACGUUACUGACACUAAGGCGCGAAAGCGUGGGGAGCGAACAGG
rnacentral:rRNA from 1 species